AUACGGAGGGUGCGAGCGUUAUCCGGAUUUAUUGGGUUUAAAGGGUGCGUAGGCUGUGCGUUAAGUCAGGGGUGAAAUGCCGUCGCUCAACGACGGAGCUGCCCUUGAUACUGGCGUGCUGGAGUACGGAUGCCGUUGGAGGAAUGAGUGGUGUAGCGGUGAAAUGCUUAGAUAUCACUCAGAACACCGAUUGCGAAGGCAUCUGACGAAUCCGUCACUGACGCUGAGGCACGAAAGCGUGGGGAUAGAACAGGAUUAGAUACCCUGGUAUUCCACGCCGUAAACGAUGAUGACUAACCGUCGGCGAUAGACAGCCGGUGGCCAAGCGAAAGCGAUAAGUCAUCCACCUGGGGAGUACGUCGGCAACGAUGAAACUCAAAUGAAUUGACGGGG
rnacentral:rRNA from 1 species